rnacentral:tRNA from 1 species
GGAGCUAUGGCUUAGUGGUAGAGCAUCUGUUUAGCACGCAAGGGUCCCAGGUUUAAUCUUUGCCAUCUCCA